rnacentral:rRNA from 1 species
CCUACGGGUGGCAGCAGUGAGGAAUAUUGGUCAAUGGACGAGAGUCUGAACCAGCCAAGUAGCGUGAAGGAUGACUGCCCUAUGGGUUGUAAACUUCUUUUAUAUGGGAAUAAAAUGUUCCACGUGUGGGAUUUUGUAUGUACCAUAUGAAUAAGGAUCGGCUAACUCCGUGCCAGCAGCCGCGGUAAUACGGAGGAUCCGAGCGUUAUCCGGAUUUAUUGGGUUUAAAGGGAGCGUAGGUGGAUGGUUAAGUCAGUUGUGAAAGUUUGCGGCUCAACCGUAAAAUUGCAGUUGAAACUGGCAGUCUUGAGUACAGUAGAGGUGGGCGGAAUUCGUAGUGUAGCGGUGAAAUGCUUAGAUAUCACGAAGAACUCCGAUUGCGAAGGCAGUUCACUGGACUGCAACUGACACUGAGGCUCGAAAGUGUGGGUAUCAAACAGGAUUAGAUACCCCUGUAGUC